rnacentral:rRNA from 1 species
UGCCAGCAGCCGCGGUAAUACGUAGGUGGCAAGCGUUGUCUGGAAUUAUUGGGCGUAAAGCGCGCGCAGGCGGCUUCUUAAGUCUGAUGUGAAAUCUCGGGGCUCAACCCCGAGCGGCCAUUGGAAACUGGGGAGCUUGAGUGCAGAAGAGGAGAGUGGAAUUCCACGUGUAGCGGUGAAAUGCGUAGAGAUGUGGAGGAACACCAGUGGCGAAGGCGACUCUCUGGUCUGUAACUGACGCUGAGGCGCGAAAGCGUGGGGAGCAAACAGGAUUAGAUACCCUGGUAGUCC